UAGUCCACGCCGUAAACGAUGAUAACUCGUUGCUGGCGAUACAUUGUCAGUGACCAAGCGAAAGUGUUAAGUUAUCCACCUGGGGAGUACGAUCGCAAGAUUGAAACUCAAAGGAAUUGACGGGGGCCCGCACAAGCGGAGGAACAUGUGGUUUAAUUCGAUGAUACGCGAGGAACCUUACCUGGACUUAAAUGUACGUUGCAUGGAUCAGAGAUGGUCCUUUCUUCGGACUACGUACAAGGUGCUGCAUGGUUGUCGUCAGCUCGUGCCGUGAGGUGUCGGGUUAAGUCCCAUAACGAGCGCAACCCCUAUCCUUAGCUGCCAGCGAGUCAUGUCGGGGACUCUGAGGAGACUGCCACCGUAAGGUGUGAGGAAGGUGGGGAUGACGUCAAAUCAGCACGGCCCUUAUGUCCAGGGCUACACACGUGCUACAAUGGCAGUGACAAUGGGAUAAUCCCCAAAAGCUGUCUCAGUUCGGAUUGUCGGCUGCAACUCGCC
rnacentral:rRNA from 1 species